rnacentral:lncRNA from 1 species
UUCAUCACAACAAUUGUAUGUGUCACCAAAGUAAAAAUAAAAGAAUGAUACAUACUAACAUACCUUUAUAAUGAACAACAUUUUAGAACUAUACUCAAAGCAUGUUUCGCUUCCAAUUUAGUGAAGUGAGCAACUUCAAAUUUGCUUUCUAGUAUCAAUCUGACUUCAUUUCAUAAAUUAAAAUUCUCCUUCUCAUCGACAAAUAAAUCAAUUACUAAUCAAAAUAAAAAUUAAUAAUAACUCUAUGCCAAAGAAAUACUCUUAAUAUUGUUAGAAAAAUAUGACAUAGAAUUAUCUCGUUAAUAUAAAUCAAAGAAAAUAUUGGUACAAAUUAAUCUGAUACAUAAUAAAAUAAAAUUAGAACGAAAAGAACUUAUCGAAUUGUUGACUUAGGCAUGCAAAUGCAUUGGGCAGUAUUUCGCCACCACAGGUAAGUUAUCCGGUGCAUUGACGGUGUAAAAUAGUUUUACACGAUCGUGCAAUAAAUAAUCAUUAUUUUGUCAUGUCAUAUUAAGAAAGUGGAGUGAAGUGGGGUGAUGUGGCGGAAAACAUGAUUGGUAUUGGUUGCAACUAUAAAUUUAUUUUACCCACGUCGGUGCAUAUCAAUUAAAUCAUAAUAUUAUUAUUAAGACGAGAUUAACUUUUCAAGAGCAAAAGAGGUUAGAAGACAACACAAAGGCAAAGUUGAGAAAGAAAAACUAAAAAAAUAUACACACAUCACCCUCUCCAAUCUUUCUGACACAAUCUUUGCAAACCAACACCUUAACUUUCACUCAUAACUUCUACAAACCACCACCAUUUUAUCCAUCCAAACCAAAAUAAAAUACCUAACAAAAGAAAAACAAGCAAACAGAGCAAAAAACAAAGAAACAGAGUAAGAAACAGAACUAAGAAGAAGGGAGAAGGAGGCUCUUAUCGCAGUCUCCUAAUUCCACCAAUCACCACAGCCACACAUAGCUCGUCGGAGCACCAACUGUCGAACACCACCGCAUCACCACCACCUCCACCGUUGGCUCUCUCUCUCUCUCUCUCU